rnacentral:rRNA from 1 species
GUCGACGAGAACAGAAGAGAGCUUGCUCUCUUGCUGCUAAGUGGCGCACGGGUGAGUAAUAUAUAGGUAAUAUGCCUCUUACUAAGGGAUAAUUGUUGGAAACGACUUGUAAUACCUUAUAUGCCUUUUGAACAUAAGUUCGUAAAGGGAAAGAUUUAUCGGUAAGAGAUUAGCCUGUACGGUAUCAGAUAGUUGGUGGGGUAAUGGCCUACCAAGUCUAUGACACCUAACUGGUUUGAGAGGAUGAUCAGUCACACUGGAACUGAGACACGGUCCAGACUCCUACGGGAGGCAGCAGUGGGGAAUAUUGCACAAUGGACGAAAGUCUGAUGCAGCAACGCCGCGUGGAGGAUGACACAUUUCGGUGCGUAAACUCCUUUUAUAUGAGAAGAUAAUGACGGUAUCAUAUGAAUAAGCACCGGCUAACUCCGUGCCAGCAGCCGCGGUAAUACGGGGGGUGCAAGCGUUACUCGGAAUCACUGGGCGUAAAGAGCAUGUAGGCGGGUGAAUAAGUUGGAAGUGAAAUCCUAUAGCUUAACUAUAGAACUGCUUCCAAAACUGUUCACCUAGAGUAUGGGAGAGGUAGAUGGAAUUUCUGGUGUAGGGGUAAAAUCCGUAGAGAUCAGAAGGAAUACCGAUUGCGAAGGCGAUCUACUGGACAUUACUGACGCUCAGAUGCGAAGCGUGGGAGCAACAGGAUAGAUACCUGGUAUCACGCCUAACGAGUACACUAGUGUGCUAUACU